UCCAUCCAAAACUAUCCUAUAUUAUUGGGGCAGUUCAACUGACUCCUCCGAUUUUGAUUUUCAAUUAGCCUGAUAAGCAUGAACUGCCGACUAUCAAUCGGUUUACUGAUCAACAGUCGGCUAUUCUCAAUCUCUCUGGCAAACUCUGAUUAUGAUGAUUUAACUGACUUCAGACCGAUGAUCAUUGACAUAUCAGAAUUACCGACUGAUGGUCAUUAGGACUUCCACAAUUAUCGAUAUACAGUUAAAAUAUUUAGACUGCCGACAUAGAGUCGGCAUACCAGAAAUCGCCAGCGCAGAAAGCGCAUAAUGAUCAGAAUAUGAUUAGUGGUGGGUAUAACCAUCCAUCCCAUGAUCACAUAAUGCCAAAAUUAGUGGAACUCGUGUAUCUAACCGUUACAAACGGUUACCAACAACUCUAUCUAUGCAAGGAGGUAAAUAAACAGCAUUUAGUAAGACUUUUUU
rnacentral:lncRNA from 1 species